GCGACAUUGCCGCAGGGGUAAAGCGGACAGAGGCUACAGUCCUCAACGCAUGGGUUCGAGUCCCAGCCUUUUGACCUUUGCUGCA